GAUACCCUGGUAGUCCACGCCGUAAACGAUGUCGACUUGGAGGUUGUGCCCUUGAGGCGUGGCUUCCGGAGCUAACGCGUUAAGUCGACCGCCUGGGGAGUACGGCCGCAAGGUUAAAACUCAAAUGAAUUGACGGGGGCCCGCACAAGCGGUGGAGCAUGUGGUUUAAUUCGAUGCAACGCGAAGAACCUUACCUGGUCUUGACAUCCACGGAAGUUUUCAGAGAUGAGAAUGUGCCUUCGGGAACCGUGAGACAGGUGCUGCAUGGCUGUCGUCAGCUCGUGUUGUGAAAUGUUGGGUUAAGUCCCGCAACGAGCGCAACCCUUAUCCUUUGUUGCCAGCGGUCCGGCCGGGAACUCAAAGGAGACUGCCAGUGAUAACUGGAGGAAGGUGGGGAUGACGUCAAGUCAUCAUGGCCCUUACGACCAGGGCUACACACGUGCUACAAUGGCGCAUACAAAGAGAAGCGACCUCGCGAGAGCAAGCGGACCUCAUAAAGUGCGUCGUAGUCCGGAUUGGAGUCUGCAACUCGACUCCAUGAAGUCGGAAUCGCUAGUAAU
rnacentral:rRNA from 1 species